rnacentral:lncRNA from 1 species
UACAGGCCAACACAGAUCUUUGUCUCUAGCAGGAAAAAAACCCCCUCAGCAAUGAAAAGCUUUCAGUUUCAGAUAACCGGUUGCUCAUUGAGAAAAACAUCUUUGCAACCCACAUCAUAGCUACAUGUCACUGCUCACGUAGCCUGUUGUCCCACAGUUGAGUUCUGCUUGAUAGCUCUGGUAGGAAAGGAUCCAACAUAUGGCCACAAGAUUGCUUCACUUUGGAUGAGUGCAGCCAAAGCCGGCUGACUCACACCCACUGUGCUGUAGAAGAAGCCAAAAGACCAGGUCAGCUAUUUGUCCCACGGAGGGAAAUCUAUGCUUAUAUUACUUCACAACAAUAAUGUACAGGAAGAAUAAAGCAUUGGUAAGUUUCCCUGGUAAAUCA